AUGAGGGCGUACGUGAAUGUGACGAUGACCGUCGUCUUGCUCAUCGGGUGCCUGGCGGCGAUCGGCCAGUUGGGUCGCGUGGAGGCCGGGAGAAGCUACAGGGAAGGGCAGCAAGCCGACGGCGAGGCGAGCAAGCUUACGGUGAAGAUCUGCGUCCGCCGGGACUGCGAGACCAAGGGUGAACCUAUCUACACCUCCUGUUUCUGCUGCAUGAGCUUGCCGAACAUACCGUGCUCUUUCACGCGGGAUGAGUGCAAGGCGGAGUGCCCCUACACGGGGCCACCCGCACUGCCCGCCUCCGCCGUCGGCAACGGGACUACCUACGCGUAUGAGCAGAUGGAUGGCAACUGA
rnacentral:rRNA from 1 species